rnacentral:rRNA from 1 species
UACAGAGGGGGCAAGCGUUGUUCGGAAUUACUGGGCGUAAAGGGCGCGUAGGCGGCCUUCUAAGUCGAACGUGAAAUCCCCCGGGCUCAACCCGGGAACUGCGUCCGAUACUGGGAAGGCUUGAAUCCGGGGAGAGGGAUGCGGAAUUCCAGGUGUAGCGGUGAAAUGCGUAGAUAUCUGGAGGAACACCGGUGGCGAAGGCGGCAUCCUGGACCGGUAUUGACGCUGAGGCGCGAAAGCCAGGGGAGCAACGGG